rnacentral:lncRNA from 1 species
UGGUAGCUCCUAGUGGGAUGGUCAAGGUUGGGUCGAAGGUGGUGCCAGUCCGAUCUCCUCAAAUGGAUGAGUAGGUCCCUCAAAGGUAUCCACCAGGGCCGAAGUUUGAGUCAGUAAAACCUAUAUAUCUCAGCUAAUCCUCUAAGCCUCAUCUAUAAAUUUCGGAAUGUCUCCAUGCACGGUCUCGUGGAGGUGUCACAUCUUGGCCUCGAUGUCGCAUAUCCUCCAAUAUUGCUAACAAAUGAUCGGAAGUUUGAUAUCUAUGAUAUCCUCCCUCAAAUCAACAAUCCUCCUGUGCAUGAAUGAUGAAUGUGGCACCAAGCUCAACUCUCCUAUCUCUGUACAACCUACGU